UACGUAGGGAGCAAGCGUUGUCCGGAAUCAUUGGGCGUAAAGCGCGCGUAGGCGGCCCCGUAAGUCCGCUGUGAAAGUCAAAGGCUCAACCUUUGAAAGCCGGUGGAUACUGUGGGGCUAGAGUACGGAAGAGGCGAGUGGAAUUCCUGGUGUAGCGGUGGAAUGCGCAGAUAUCAGGAGGAACACCGAUGGCGAAGGCAGGUCUCUGGGCCAUUACUGACACUGAGAAGCGAAAGCAUGGGGAGCGAACAGG
rnacentral:rRNA from 1 species